CACAGCUCAUUAGAACCCGGAAGGUGAUGAUGACUACACCUCGUCCGACGACUAGACCUACUACUACCACCACUGCUCCGGCAGAGAUUGACCAUAGGCCGGUGAAUCCGGUUGACCCGGUUGGUCCUCCAGUCCCACAUGCACCAACAUCUUCGACUUCUUCGGUGGCGCUACCUGUUAGCGCUCGACGUGCUCAUUGACGCCCCUGCACUUUGGAGCAGAUGUCGCCAUCGGGAUCCACAACCGAUGCCUUGAGUCCACAGCCAAGUAUACUAUCCUAAUUUACUCCCUCAUUCCCAUGUUAACUUAGUUUUGUUAUUUUAGGUUCAGUUUGUUAAGUUAUGUCAUUUAAGGAUUAAAAGUUAUUAUAUAUAUAUAUUGUUGUCAUCAUACCAAACCCAUUAUUAAACAGUUGUGAUCAUUGUGUUGGAUACAUAUUCAAGGUUUUGGAAAAUGGUUUCAUUAUAGGGAGGUUCUGCCGAAAUUUCGGUAGGAUUUGUUAUUGGUUUUAGGUUAACAUUAAUUUUUCAUUUCUUUGCACACAAGAAAAAAACCCGAGGACCUUGUCGACAAUUGAAGAUGGCGAAAAUCACCCAGGUCACCAAUGGUCAUAUCACAGUUGGAUACGAUGGGCGACAUCGAGCAACACCAACGGUGGAGCAGCAUAGUGCAUUGGUCCACGACAUUGGGCACGUCGUGUUGACCUAUUGCCCUAUGCACUGGAAGUCUUGGAAGGCAAUGCCGGAGGAGGUGAAAAACACGGUGCACAAUCAUUUGUCGACAAACUACCAUUUCGAUGACAUCAACAAGGACAUGUUGGUGUACCUCAAUUGACUCUUCUCCAAAUGCUACAAGCAGUGGAAGAGUGACCUGCGCCAGUAUUUCAAGAUGUUUGAUGAUCCACAGGUCGCUCUGGAGGAGGGUUGCCCGAAUUAGUUCGAGGACCGACAAGAUAGUUAGGUUUGGCUCUGCAAUCAUUUUCAGGGGCUGGGCUAUGUGAAGAAGGCGAACACAAACAAGAUCAAUCAGGAGAAGAAGACUCUUCUCCACCAUUCGGGUUCGACUCAUUUCUCAUAUAGGAUGGAGGCAUGACGGAAGGGUUCAAAAUUCUCGAAGAUCGACGCCUUUGCUGACGUUUAUGUUCGGCAUGGGGAUAAGUUGGCCAAGUCCUUUCAUGCGACUAUGUUGGAGAAAGGUCAGUUGGUCCUUCUGGAGUUCGCCUUCUAGCUUCCCCCAGACAUGCCGAACGAGUCUGUGGAUCCCCUUGAGGAUGCGAGGUUUCACAUCCUUACAGAGACAUUCGACCAAACUUUUGGUCGGAGGCCAAGGACAUAUUGUCGGGGUAUAAGAAAUGCCAGACAACGGGAAAGUGGAGCCUCUUCAUUCUCUUAGUCGAAGGGCGAGGUUACGGCUUUAAUGCAAGAAGUCGCUGGCCUAAGGAGUGAGCUCGCAUCGUACAAGACUCAAAUGUCAUUGAUUGUACAAGCCCUCAGUUCCUCCAGGAUUCGUCCCCUAGAUUUUCCUGCAUCACCGCCGUCAGAGACCCUUCACACAGAGCAUACACAGCAAUCAGACCCGUUGACCUUCGACCCCGUUCCCAACCCCACCCUCUUCUAGCAGCAAGAUUACCAAGCACUUCCAAACGACUUGCCCAUAGAUUAUGCCUCAUUUUUUUUUGUUUUUUUUUCCCGCUUUCUUUUUUAA